AAGUGGACAGUUUGAUUUCACAGAAGUGUGAUUGACUUGGAGUUACAUUGUGUUGUUUAAGUGUUCCCUUUUAUUUUUUUGAGCAGUGUAUAUAAUUACUUCCGCUAGGAGAGCUGUGACGUCAAUGAAGUGAGUUAGUGAGAUAUUUAACAUUUAUUCUUCAUUAUGGAGAAUGACUAGUUCUGAAAACGAACGUUUCUCCGUCUCAUCAUUUUACCCUAUUAAUUCAGGUAUGUAAUGUGCAAAAUGCAAUUUGACUCAAAAUAUUGAGGUAACCAGGUGAAUUACAUAGUCCAUGAGUUUGAUGAUGUUUGAAGGCAGUUUUAACUGAGUGAAAAACUGGUUGGUAUUUUCCCCAUUGUAAGUAAGUUAAUGGAGUUAGGCUUUGUUGCUAAUGGUUUACGAGAACGGAUUAACAUGGCAUCCAAACUUUCUGUACUUUUUUUCCUUCAACGUUUUAGAUCCAAUUUGUUUUAUUUUCUAUGAACAAAGGCUCAGUUUACUUUAGGCAAUAUAUGUAAACGUGAUGUCACGAUAAAAUGUGUUAGUGUUAAUAUUUGUACGAAAAUAGCGUUUAACAGUUCGCUAACUUGAUGCUAACCAAAUUUAGAUUGGCUAAGCGCUGUAGUAGUUAGCUCUAGCCUAGUUGGUUUUAGUCUGUCAUCUUAAUGUAAUGGUUGUAGCAUUGUUUUGCAUAGGCGUCCAGUAAUUUAGAUUUUUUUCGAAAUUGACACUGAUAGUAUAGUGAGUUAUAUAUAAUGUGAAUGUGUAGAUGUAUGGUGACUCCACGUUUGGAAGAACGGACCAACGGGACUGCCAUAGGCAAGUCCUUUGACGGGUACCAGGAAUGGUGGGAGGACAAUCUGAAGGUAAUUAUCUUUGCACACAACACGGCAGUGUCCAGGCCUCCAGAGUAUUCACUCUAUCGCCUGCUAUAUGGAGGGGAACCACAGCAGUUAACUGACGUAAACAGUGCAAUUGUAUAUAACAUUAUUGUAUAUACUGUAGUAUAAUUUUUUUUGAUUGACUUAGUGUUUUUCUUUUGCUGUUUUUGUAUAACGUACUUUGAGGUCACUGGUACACCACCUGAUGUGGUGGAAGUUGUCAAACCAGAUCAGAACUCAUUCGAAGACCACCUUCAGGCACGGACUGAGAAGGAUGUGGAGGUUUUUGACCAGGUGAGACUGAACAUGGAAAGGGCGCAUGAGAAGGAGGAGAUCCACCUGAGAAGAAUCAAGGGGACCAAGUGCUUUGACUGGGCGAAUGACUUGGCUUGGAAGAAGGAUGAAAGGAAGGAGAGACCCGGGAAAGCUUGGUGCUAUUUCGCUUCUAGCUGGGGUCAACAUCCGUUAAGGGACCACCCCUUACCAACCCCACUGACAUCAAAGAUUAGACGGGACCUAGGUGUUCUGCCUAACACCCAGACAUGGAUCCACCUGAUGUCCUCCAUUACCAACCACCUUCCAACUUUUCAUUACCUCAGUUAUUGUCAUGUUGUCAUUGUCUGCUAAGAAUAAGCAAGAAAACUAUCAUACUGGGCACGUAAUGUGAGCUGCACAGAUCAGCUAAAAACAGUAGCACUGCAAACACUCAGAACAAAGAGGGCAGCAGUGCCUGGACUUUGCAGUUUCCCUCUUUCUAGUCCACUACCUAUGAAUGCCAUGUGAGUGUACAAAAAAAUCUGAAAGUAAAUUGACACAAGUACCAAAACAAUGGUUAUGUAUUUAAAUCUGAAAUAUUGCUAGAUUGGUUUUCACAGAUGUUUCAUAAGGUGUUUGUUAUUGUAAAUUGUAACGUAUCCCUUGAUGAUAUUUGUUAGUUCAACAUUAUUAAUUGUAUGAGACAUACAAUUAAUAUAUAUUCAACCACAAGGGUGCACUAAUGAGCUAUGAUUUUUUUUAAAUCAUAAUUGGGGACUAAAAUGAUUUCAGUGUAGUUAAGGGAAUGCCUGUUUAAAAUGAAAACAUGCCAGCCAGACAAGCCAGUGUAUGGAUAAAAUGUAUUUGCAUAUG